UAGUGUCCUAUUUGUUUUGUCUGUUACAUUUCAAUAACAGCAACAGCAGAGAAUAUCUCUUUAAAGUUCACUGCCUGUUGCUUUAUUGAAUAAUUCAAUGAAAUUUUACUUCAACAAUCUGUCAGUAUUAAGAUGCAAUUUGUCUGCAGCAAAACCUGACAAGGCAACGGCACAGUAGUUUUAAUGGGUUGCAGUUCCAAAGAAUAACCAAGAGGCAUGGUUUAUUGUGCAUGACACUAAUUCAAUAGGCUGUGACUUACGUGGUCUGCAUGAUUGACUGUACUGCCAUUCACAUUAUAGUGUAAUUGCUUGCAGACCAUUUCAAUCAACAUUCAAGUUGAGAUUUUCUCCCGGUACGCAACCAAAGGAAGUCAGACAAAUGUAUUUAAAUAUAAUUGACUGUAUUUACGUUCUGUAUUAGUAAUUGAAUAUAUCCCAUGCAUUCAUCAAAAUAAUGAAUGUUAAGUAUAUCAUUGUUUUUCUAACCAUUUUGAUAACAAUGUCAUCAAUAUGCAAAGGACUCCAGCAGUUUACUCGUUGGGUACAAAUAAAGCCUGGGGAAGAUGCUGGUCAAUCAGUAAACCGUGUCAUUCGAUGUUCAGGAUGCAAACAGUCAGCUACAAGGGAAAAUAAACGCCCCCGACCUAAACUCUCUCGCAAAGGUCCACUGCCUUUCUAAGAUCAGCACACGACUGCACCCAGUACUUAUUUUCUGCAAAGAUCAUGUCCAGUGCCAUCUACGAGCAGAGAAAGCAAGGACAAACAUCCGUUUAGUAUCUCCAUCAGGAGUACAAUCUGUAUUUCUGUUAAAUGCUGAAGAUAUUUGUUUCAGUUGUUUAAAAUAUUGCCACAGAAAGAUCCAAAAAUUUCCAGAUGUGAAUCUGCCACUUCAGAGAAUAUAAUCGAAAGGUCAACAGAAAAUAUAAAAUGUGCUGUGAGACAUUCUGUUCACAACAACCAUAAUUUCAUUUUCUGAUGCAUGCUCCAAAGAGAUCAAUUCUAUCUGUAAACAAGAGAUCUUGUAUCGGCUGUUUCUCGUAACAUAGAGUACAUUAUGAAUAAUUAAAAUGGUUAAGAGACUGCUUUAAAAAUAGUAAUCAACUGACUUUUAAAAAUACCAAUAAUCGUUCAACAAAAUUCAUCAUUAAAAGUUAUUGCGUAAAUGAAAUAUUCCCAAUUAGAGGAUCUACUUGAAUUAUUUACGGUUUCUUAAACGCUGGAUAAUUGCGAGCAGAUUAGUAUUUCAAUAUUAUCAAAGAUUCAGAUCUCAUUAUAUUAGCCAUUUAUACUUAACAUUUUCAAGAAUGUGAUUUAAAAAGAUGCAACUUCUUGUUCAGUCUACACUGUAGCCACUCCCCAAUGCAACAUACAGUAGAAUGCACCAAAACGUAUCAACCAUUUUUAAAAUUCUGUCGCACACAAUUCAUGAAUAAAUUGAUAAUGUAAGUAAACGGUAGAAAUAUAAUUGAGAACAUUCAGAAAUGAAUAUAUUCAAAUAGUUAAAUUGGUUAAAAAUAUUUCAAAUUUUAGCAUAAAUAUGCAAUUUCUCUAUUUUAAAAGUGGGUUUGUUGAUUGCUUCUUUUUUCAAGCACUUCUGUAAUGCCACAGGUUUAGAACUUAGAAUAUCAUAAAUUCACACAAUUAAUACUGUGCCCUUUGGGCUAAAUAGAUCUUAAGAUUCCAGAAUAAUUGGUAGGAUGGGGAGUAGUGUGGACUAGUGCAAGUGGGUUCUUGAUGGUCAACUUGGACUCAUUGAGCUAAAAGGCCAAACCUCCUUAUUAUGACAUUAUAUUGAAAAUUAUUUUUUUCGCUGAUCGAAAAAAUAAUCAGAGGUCAAAAUUGUUUUGCAAAAUGGGCCACGGAAAAUCAGAACUAGAUUUAAUUAUUUAUUUGCUUCUUUUUGUUACUGGAACAACCUGGUUAGAUCUAAAAGAUUUAGAACAUUUUAACUUGGCACCUGAUCAAACUCUAUUUUUUGUAGUUAGUAAUAGCCAAUCAUUGAUGGAGUAUGCUUUUUAUACAUUUGCAGUACAGAAAUAGCCAUCUUGUGUUUUUCCUGAUGCAUCCCUUCCCUGUUUUUUUCAGAAUGAUAAUAUUUUCUCACAAGGUAAUCUGUCACAUCACCCUCUUCAAUUGCAAGUUUUUAUUUGCUGUCUAGAUUGGACACUCAAGGCUCUAUUAAUUACAUCGAGAUCUGAAUAAAACUUCCUUCAAUACCAAAUAAAACAAUAACCAUCUAGUUGUGACGAAGUUCUGCAUCAAAAAAAUGUUUCCUCGACGGAAUUGUUAAUUUGCGGCUUUGGAUGUUUUAAAUAGAGAGCUGAGAGUUCAAAGGUACUGAAAAUGUAAUGAUUUGUAAAUGCGGUAGAGAAGACAUGCUCAAAGUUCACUUUGUAUUGAUUAUCUAUUUAGCUGUGAUAAUUCUCUCAACCCACUGCUGUCAAAACGUUAUCAUUGGAUUUGCUGUUGUUGUAUAUCACAAAAUCUCUAUCUUGUUAUGGCAGUAAAACAAUGCUUUGAAGUCUCCUCUUAAAAUCUCUGGAUAACUAUCCCAUUCAUACUUUUCCAGUUUGUUAAUCACAGUCUCCAGAGAUUUUCCUCCAAUCCCAGUUCAACAAAUCUGUGCACAUUUUCUGCAUGACCGCAGACAUAACUUUUUUCCCUCAUCAUGACAUGUGCAUUCUCACCUGUUCUGGCUUUUCCUGCCAUAAUUUGCAAAUAAUCUGAUAUUUAGUACAGAUGUAGAGCUUUAUAUUUCCCUCUGUCAUCACAAUAGUUAGGGCCUUUGGUCGAAGCUGUUCUCGUGUAAGUAACUUGUUUCACUCCAUCAACUUCUAGCAGAUAUAGGAUUAAGGUAUGGGAAACACUGUAGACUGUGGCAACAUGUCUUUAUAACAUUGCUAUAAUUAAAGCAACAAAUGGCACCCGCUACUAUACACAUCUUGCGUACUAUCCUUAUUCAAUCAUCUCAAGUUCCACACACUAUGGCAUUACAAACAACAGCAUCCUCUUCCAAUACAGUAUCUCAACUGCUCAUGACUCUUAGUUGCAAAUUGAGUCCAUUAGAACAUUUUUUCUGGAAUUCCCUACCUAAACUCAUCUCUCCAUUUUCCUGGAGAAACAAGGAACUACAGAUACUGAUUUACAAAAAAUGGCACAAUGUGUUAAAGUACCUCAGUGGGUCAGGCAGCAUCUCUGGGAAGCAUAGAUAGGGUCGGGAUCCAACUGUGGACUGAUUGUGGUGGAAGGGAAAGAAAGCUGGACGAAAGGAUGGCCAGGACAAAGCCUGACAAGUAAUGGGUGGUUACAGGCGAGGGGGGGUUGAUCGGCAGAUGGCUAGACAGAGGUAAAAAGGCACAAACCCUCCGACUUCCACAUUUAUCUGGACUACACCUCCUCCCGCCAGCCUCUUCAAAGAUGUAAUUCCCUACUCACUAUACUUCAAUUUCUGCUGUACCUGCUUACAAGAUGAGGCUUUCCAUUCUAGGAUCAAGAUGUCCUCUAUUUGUUUUAGUAAUUGUGGUUCCUCACUGCUACCAUAUGUGUAUCCCUCACCCGCUUCUUGUCCGUGCCCAGUAGUUCUGCUCAUGCUCCCCCUCCUCCAGGUGGAACAUGGAUAGACAUCCCAUGAUCCUCACCUGGCACUUCAAUCGUGGCUGCAUCCAACACACCAUUCUCCAACACAUCAUGUUGGGAUCACCUCCAACAUGAUCCAAACACCAGUCACAUCUUCCAAUCCCCUUUCCGCCUUCCGCAGAGACCAACUCCGCGGCUCACUCAUCCCUUCCCACCCAAACCAACCCUUUCCCACAUUAUUUCUCCAGCAACCGCAAGAUAUUCAACACCUCGCCCUGUACCUCCUGAUAUCCACCCAGCAUUUGGUCCACAUGAGACAGAGGUUUAUAUUCAUCUACUGCAUCUGGUGUUUCUGAUGUGGCCUCCACUGCACCUUCGGAUGCAUGUGACAAAUAAAAUUGACUUUGACUUUGCAUCGACAAGACCAAAAAAUCGGUGACGUUUCAUUCUACACUUGUGUUCGGUCUGCCAAGUUGCUUACCAUUCCAACUCUCCAUUCCAUUCUGACCUUUCUGUCCUGGGCCUCUUCCAUUCCCAGAGUAAGGCCACACGCAAGCAAUUUUAUAUGUCAACCUGCAACACCCCUCCCCCACCCCGUGCCCACUCAUUUCUUCCCUCUAUCUAUAUUCCUUACUCUGGCUUCACAAUUAUCAACUAUUCAAUCCAUUUGUCUCAUACCUUUUGACCAACCAUCUGCCUGUCAACCUGUCACUUGCCAGGCUUUGCCCUGCACCUCCUCUCUACCAGCUUUCUGCCCCCCACCACAAUCAGUCUAAAUAAGGGUCCCGACCCGAAACAUCAUGGUCUCCAGAGAUGCUGUCUGAUCCACUGAGUUACUCCAGCACUUUGUAAAUUUUCUUUCUCCAUUUUACCUUUAUUCUUUAAUUUCACCAAACUAUUAGUUAACCAUUCCAAUAUCCUUUGUUGACUGUGUUAAUUCUUGACUGUCUACAUUUUGGUGAAGCUUCAUGAGAUAUUUUCAUUACAAUUACACCAAUGUCUGUCCUACUGGUUAGUAAUAGCCUUAUUCAAGGAAUUCUAUUAACAAUGGUUUUAAAUUUCUCCCGAAUCACCCUCUCUACAGGUUGGUAGGUUAAUUGGCCACUAUAAAUUAUCUCAAUUGUGUAAAUGAACGAUAGAAUCAAGAGUAGUGAAUAAAAUGGGAUUAGUGUAGGACUCGUCUAAGUAGGUGCUUGAUGGUCAGCUUGGUCUUAUUGAACCAAAAGGCAUGUCUCCGUGCUACAUCACUGCAUGACUCUCUGACAGUUAAUCUCAGCUCUUUCUUUUCCUAGACUUAUGUGUUUCCAUUAACAAAUUGUAGGAGCAAUUUAUUUAAAGCUAACCUCAAAAGCUAACUUUUGAUUAACGUAUAAAAAUCUUUCAUAUUAAAUCUAAUGCAAUUUUACAUAUUAAAGUUAUUAAAAAAUAUUUUUUCUCUGGACACUGGCAGACGCUAAGAUCCCCAGCAAAAUGUUACAAAAUCACAAUUUUGAUAUCACACAUCAGACCUGUCAUGGGAUUUUUCUAUUUCCUAUUCAUCCAAAGCAGGUUCUCAGCCAAGAGGUUGGGAAGAAAAAGUAACUAUGAAAUUGUUGCUUAUGUAAAUUUUCAUAUUUUAAUUAAAACAUGCUAAUUAAAACAAUUAAAUAUUUUUGACCAAUUCAAAGCCAAUUUAAUCAUUUUUAAGGAUCUCUCACUAUUGAAUAAUUUUAACAAUAUUCCAUCUGAGACCCACUAUACCUCCUAGAUUUAGAAGGGCAGCUCCAUCAAACCAUUGCAUCCAGCACAAUUAAAAACCACAGCUGGCGAUCCGGAUUCAAAUUAAUUCCACCUUAAUUUAUCUAUAAACUCUUUAAAGGGAUGUUUAUGCCCACACGUGGCUGUGCCAUCUUUUUAUCUUGUCUUCCUCAUCUGUAAUGAUAUCCCUGCUUGAUAAAUGGGUAUACAAAAAACAUUUUUUAUAUUCAGUUUCUAUCUAAAAUUGUGUU